rnacentral:snoRNA from 1 species
CUUCGGUGAUGAUACGAUGACGAGUCAGAAGGGAUGUCCUUGUGUCACCGCAGCCUGUUCAGUGCCACGUUCUGUGGUGCUGUGCUAAGGCUGCCUUGGACAGGAUGUCCUGUUCGUUGGAUGAUUUAGAGGCAUUUGUCUGAGAAGG